GAUGAAGAACGUAGUAAAAUGCGAUAAGUAAUGUGAAUUGCAGAAUUCAGUGAAUCAUCGAAUCUUUGAACGCACAUUGCGCCCGCCAGUAUUCUGGCGGGCAUGCCUGUUCGAGCGUCAUUUCAACCCUCAAGCCCCCGGGUUUGGUGUUGGGGAUCGGCGAGCCUCACGGCAAGCCGGCCCCGAAAUACAGUGGCGGUCUCGCUGCAGCUUCCAUUGCGUAGUAGUAAAACCCUCGCAACUGGUACGCGGCGCGGCCAAGCCGUUAAACCCCCAACUUCUGAAUGUUGACCUCGGAUCAGGUAGGAAUACCCGCUGAACUUAAGCAUAUCAAUAAGCGGAGGA
rnacentral:misc_RNA from 1 species